UUACGGUCACAUCGUGUUGAAACACCGGUUUCCGUAAGAUCACCGAAGUUAAGGAACGUCGAGCCGGGUUAGUAUCUAGACGGGUGACCGCUUGGGAAUACUAGGUGU
rnacentral:rRNA from 1 species